AUUCGAUUAGAGUUUGAUCAUGGCUCAGGUAGUACGAUCACUGAAUUCCGGCCGCCUGCAAGUCGACCAUAGGGAGAGCUCCCAACGCUUGGAUGCAUAGCUUGAGUAUUCUAUAGGAUCACCUAAUAAUAACGCUCGGAAACGGACGCUAAUACCGCAUACGUCCUACGGGAGAAAGCAGGGGACCUUCGGGCCUUGCGCUAUCAGAUGAGCCUAGGUCGGAUUAGCUAGUUGGUGGGGUAAUGGCUCACCAAGGCGACGAUCCGUAACUGGUCUGAGAGGAUGAUCAGUCACACUGGAACUGAGACACGGUCCAGACUCCUACGGGAGGCAGCAGUGGGGAAUAUUGGACAAUGGGCGAAAGCCUGAUCCAGCCAUGCCGCGUGUGUGAAGAAGGUCUUGUAAAGCACUUUAAGUUGGGAGGAAGGGCCCUAACCUCAUACGUUAGUGUUUUGACGACCGCGGGAAUUCGAUUAGGUUUGAUCUGGCCAGCAGCCGCGGUAAUACGAAUCACUAGUGAAUUCGCGGCCGCCUGCAGGUCGACCAUAUG
rnacentral:rRNA from 1 species